rnacentral:misc_RNA from 1 species
AAACCACUCAAGCCUCGCUUGGUAUUGGGCGUCGGGGUCUUCCCGCGCCUCCAUGUCGCCGGCCGGCCGUCGUUUGACUUAGCGUUGUGACACAUGUCGCUGACGACGAAGACGGAUCGCGCCGUGAGAAUUCUCGUGGACGUUAACCAAUGUCCCGUACA